CUUACACAUGCAAGUCGAACGGGCUCUUCGGAGCUAGUGGCGGACGGGUGAGUAACGCGUGAGAAUCUGCCUUCAGGAGGGGGAUAACGACUGGAAACGGUCGCUAAUACCCCAUAUGCCUCCGGGUGAAAAGUAAUUCGCCUGAAGAUGAGCUCGCGUCAGAUUAGCUAGUUGGUGGGGUAAGAGCCUACCGAGGCGACGAUCUGUAGCUGGUCUGAGAGGAUGAUCAGCCACACUGGGACUGAGACACGGCCCAGACUCCUACGGGAGGCAGCAGUGGGGAAUUUUCCGCAAUGGGCGCAAGCCUGACGGAGCAAGACCGCGUGGGGGAUGACGGCCUAAUGGUUGUAAACCCCUUUUCUCUGGGAAGAAGACUGACGGUACCAGAGGAAUCAGCCUCGGCUAACUCCGUGCCAGCAGCCGCGGUAAUACGGAGGAGGCAAGCGUUAUCCGGAAUUAUUGGGCGUAAAGCGUCCGUAGGUGGUUAUUCAAGUCUGCUGUCAAAGCGUGGGGCUUAACUCCAUAGAGGCAGUGGAAACUGAGUGACUAGAGUGCGGUAGGGGUCGAGGGAAUUCCCAGUGUAGCGGUGAAAUGCGUAGAUCUUGGGAAGAACACCAGUGGCGAAAGCGCUCGACUGGGCCUGCACUGACACUGAGGGACGAAAGCUAGGGGAGCGAAAGGGAUUAGAUACCCCUGUAGUCCUAGCCGUAAACGAUGGAUACUAGGUGUUGCUCGUCAUCGACCCGAGCAGUGCCGUAGCCAACGCGUUAAGUAUCCCGCCUGGGGAGUACGCUCGCAAGAGUGAAACUCAAAGGACUUGACGGGGGCCCGCACAAGCGGUGGAGUAUGUGGUUUACUUCGAUGCAACGCG
rnacentral:rRNA from 1 species